GUGGUUAUGUUUGAAAAUGAUCGAGAUCAUAAGAUUUCCGUUUGAUCCGGGAAUUCAUCAUUGGGAGAAUUUAUCACAUGAAGAGUUUUUCAUUUUGAUAUUUGAUCCAGGAGGAGUUGGAACUUUUCAAAUUCUUGUUUGUGUUGCUAAUAUUACUUAUUCAUUUAAAUUUCCAGAUGAGACUUGUGGUUAUAUUUUGUUUGGUGUUACUAACUUGAUUUGUUUUUAUGUAGGAUCAGAGUUGUGGACAAAUCCUUUUAAAGUGGAGGGGAUGCCAGAUUUGAGGACAAAUCCUUUUCAAGAGGAGGAGAGAAUGAUACAAUCUUGAUCAGGCUCACAUCAAACAACAAUAACUCAUUUCAAAUUCCAGGGGUUCGUCAAAUGAUUUCAAAUAAUUGGAUUGAAUUUUAUUCAAAGAUGUUUGAAAUGGAGCUCAAUUCAAGCGAACUGCGACGGAAGGAUAAAUUACAUGAUUUGGGUCUUCUAGAUUUAACAUAUUUCGCAAGUUCAAAUCUAUUCAAGCAACAUAGUGUCAAAUUAAAUCAAAAUGGGCUGACCCAAUUUGCUAUUUAAUAUUAAUGUGGGUCGCGGAUGUUAUGAUGGCCAAUUCAGCCAUGGGCCACGAUUUUUGUACUCCAAAAUGGGCAGCGGGUCAAUAUUAAUAUAUAUGAAGCAAUGCAUGAAUUCAACAUGUUCAGCAAAGACUUUUUCAUAUUAUUUAUACACGUGGGCCUACAUAUAGCAACCAUCAUUACAUUCCUUUUACAAAUUGAAAUUAGAUAUCAGCCUUCAUAUAAUUGGAUAUCAGCUUUCAUAUUUCCUAAUUGAUGUCAGCAUCCGUUUUUACUUUCCUUUUCCUACAUUCGGUAAUGUCCAAUUUCAAGAAGGAAUUUAGGCGGCUUCAUGCGACACGAGGAGUCCAAACGCG
rnacentral:lncRNA from 1 species